GACGUAGGAUGCAAGCGUUGUCCGGAUUUAUUGGGCGUAAAGAGUUCGUAGGCGGUUCGUUAAGUCUGGUGUUAAAGACUGGGGCUCAACCCUGGAAGUGCACUGGAUACUGGCGGACUGGAGUGGAGUAGAGGCAAGCGGAAUUCCCAGUGUAGCGGUGAAAUGCGUAGAUAUUGGGAAGAACACCGGUGGCGCAAGCGGCUUGCUGGGCUUUAACUGACGCUGAGGAACGAAAGCUAGGGGAGCAAAUGGG
rnacentral:rRNA from 1 species